GUAAGCUGCAUUUCCAAUUUUCUUUUUAGCUCUUUACAAUGAUGCUGUCAACUGGAAAUGAAGAAGGAAGGAGGCAAUGAAGCAAGAAUAUUCAGCCGCAGCUGAGAACAAAAAAAGUUGAGGAUGACACACCAGAAUGAAGAUCAAUCACAGCCUUCUUUACGGGUACUUUUCCACCUUAAUGAAGUGGGUUCAUCAUGACUUGUUAUGACAAUACCUCAUUUUUACCCACUGUUCCACUCCUUUUUUGACUCUUUUGAUCAAAAGGAUUGUUCUGCAGUGUCCCACGUGGUAUCUGUAUUAGUUAGGAUGAUAUUACAAUUUUGAAACACUUUGGAUUAUCAUGGGUAUGAAAUGUGCCUUUCAGUAAACACAACUUGCAAAUGUUAUGCUGUUGCAGAACACCAAACACAAAUCAAGUCACAGUUUUCAGCUUCCCUUUGCUCUUGUGGCCUGUGCUGUUGUGAUUUCAUGUUCUGCAGUGAAAGAGCAGGCUGCAGAUGUGCCUUGAGAGAAGUGACAGAGACUUCUUUUUUGAAAUGACAAAGACACAGUGAGGAUCUCUGAAGCAUAGAGAACAAAUGCCACUCCUGUUUUUUCAGUCUGUAAACACAUAAGUUUGACUGCUGCUUUCUCUGUUAUCAACCUUGUGAUCUUUUUCCAAUGACUUUAUCUCUCCUUUUUUUCUCCCUACCUUCUGCCUCUUGGAAAAGAUCUAUUGGCA
rnacentral:lncRNA from 1 species